rnacentral:siRNA from 1 species
UAUGGAUACGGUGCUUUACCC